rnacentral:rRNA from 1 species
UACAGGGGGUGCAAACGUUGCUCGGAAUCAUUGGGCGUAAAGCGCACGUAGGCGGUUCGUUAUGUCGGAUGUGAAAUCCCUCGGCUUAACCAAGGAAGUGCAUCCGAAACUGGAGAGCUUGAGUACUUAAGAGGAUCGCGGAAUUCCCGGUGUAGAGGUGAAAUUCGUAGAUAUCGGGAGGAACACCAGUGGCGAAGGCGGCUACCUGGACCAGCACUGACACUGAGGCACGAAAGCGUGGGGAGCAAACAGG